rnacentral:rRNA from 1 species
GAUGAACGCUGGCGGCGUGCCUAAUACAUGCAAGUCGAGCGAACAGACGAGGAGCUUGCUCCUCUGACGUUAGCGGCGGACGGGUGAGUAACACGUGGAUAACCUACCUAUAAGACUGGGAUAACUUCGGGAAACCGGAGCUAAUACCGGACAAUAUAUUGAACCGCAUGGUUCAAUAGUGAAAGACGGUUUUGCUGUCACUUAUAGAUGGGUCCGCGCCGCAUUAGCUAGUUGGUAAGGUAACGGCUUACCAAGGCGACGAUGCGUAGCCGACCUGAGAGGGUGAUCGGCCACACUGGAACUGAGACACGGUCCAGACUCCUACGGGAGGCAGCAGUAGGGAAUCUUCCGCAAUGGGCGAAAGCCUGACGGAGCAACGCCGCGUGAGUGAUGAAGGUCUUCGGAUCGUAAAACUCUGUUAUUAGGGAAGAACAAAUGUGUAAGUAACUAUGCACGUCUUGACGGUACCUAAUCAGAAAGCCACGGCUAACUACGUG